rnacentral:rRNA from 1 species
AUGAACGCUAGCGGCAUGCCUUACACAUGCAAGUCGUACGAAAACUUCGGUUUUAGUGGCAAACGGGUGAGUAAUGCGUGAGAAUCUACCUUUAAGAGGGGGAUAACACUUGGAAACAAGUGCUAAAACCCCAUAGGCCUUCGGGUGAAAAAGUUCAAACUGCUUAAAGAGGAGCUCACGUCUGAUUAGCUAGUUGGUGAGGUAAUGGCUCACCAAGGCGACGAUCAGUAACUGGUCUGAGAGGACGAUCAGUCACACUGGAACUGAGACACGGUCCAGACUCCUACGGGAGGCAGCAGUGGGGAAUUUUCUACAAUGGACGGAAGUCUGAUAGAGCAAUGCCGCGUGAGGGACGAAAGCCUACGGGUUGUAAACCUCUUUUUUCAAGGAAGAAGAUAUGACGUUACUUGAAGAAUAAGUAUCGGCUAAUUCCGUGCCAGCAGCCGCGGUAAUACGGGAGAUACAAGCGUUAUCCGGAUUUACUGGGCGUAAAGCGUCUGCAGGUGGGUCAGUAAGUCCUUUGUUAAAGCCUGAGGCUUAACCUCAGAUUCGCAAAGGAUACUACUGGUCUGGAGUGGGGUAGAGGUAAAGGGAAUUUUCAGUGGAGCGGUGAAAUGCGUAGAUAUUGAAAAGAACACCGAUGGCGAAAGCACUUUACUAGGCCCUAACUGACACUCAGAGACGAAAGCUAGGGGAGCAAAUAAGAUUAGAUACCUUAGUAGUCCUAGCCGUAAACGAUGGACACUAGAUGUUGCCUAAGGCAGUGUCGUAGCUAACGCGUUAAGUGUCUCGCCUGGGAAGUAUGUUCGCAAGAAUGAAACUCAAAGGAAUUGACGGGGGCCCGCACAAGCGGUGGAGAGUGUGGUUUAAUUCGAUGCAACGCGAAAAGCCUUACCAAGGCUUGACAUGACACGAAGUUUUUUGAAAGAAAAAUGUGCCUUCGGGAACGUGUACACAGGUGGUGCAUGGCUGUCGUCAGCUCGUGUCCUGAGAUGUUGGGUUAAGUCCCGUAACGAGCGCAACCCUUGUUUCUAGUUGCUUUAGGCUCUCUAGAAAGACUGCCGGUGACAAGCCGGAGGAAGGUGAGGAUGACGUCAAGUCAGCAUGCCCCUUACGCCUUGGGCUACACACGCUCUACAAUGGGUAAAACAAUGAGCAGCUAAGUCGCGAGACCAUGCUAAUCUCCAAAGUUACUCUAAGUUCGAAUUGAAGGCUGAAACUCGCCUUCAUGAAGCUGGAAUCGCUAGUAAUCGCAAGUCAGCACUAUUGCGGUGAAUUCGUUCCCGGGCCUUGUACACACCGCCCGUCACACCACGGGAAUUGGUUAUACCCGAAGUAGUUAUCUUAACCCGCAAGGGAGGGAGACUCCUAAGGUAGAAUUAGUGACCAGGGUG